UGGGUGCGAGACUGUUCAUGGGCUGGG
rnacentral:piRNA from 1 species